rnacentral:misc_RNA from 1 species
UUGAUUGAUUUGUUUUCGUCUCAGACUGCAAAGUAUUCAGAGUUUCUUUCUCGGCGGCGGACUCCCGCGCCGGCCACACACUCCCGCCAUCAGGCGGCGUGUCACGCCGGCCAGGCACCUCCGCCGAGGCAACCGGGCAGUACUCAAGGGUGGAGACGUGCUGGCGCACACUCGGUAAUGAUCCUUCCGCAGGUUCACCUACGGAAA